GAUGAACGCUGGCGGCGUGCCUAAUACAUGCAAGUCGAGCGAACGGACGAGAAGCUUGCUUCUCUGAUGUUAGCGGCGGACGGGUGAGUAACACGUGGAUAACCUACCUAUAAGACUGGGAUAACUUCGGGAAACCGGAGCUAAUACCGGAUGAUAUUUUGAACCGCAUGGUUCAAAAGUGAAAGACGGUCUUGCCGUCACUUAUAGAUGGAUCCGCGCUGCAUUAGCUAGUUGGUAAGGUAACGGCUUACCAAGGCAACGAUGCAUAGCCGACCUGAGAGGGUGAUCGGCCACACUGGAACUGAGACACGGUCCAGACUCCUACGGGAGGCAGCAGUAGGGAAUCUUCCGCAAUGGGCGAAAGCCUGACGGAGCAACGCCGCGUGAGUGAUGAAGGUCUUCGGAUCGUAAAACUCUGUUAUUAGGGAAGAACAUAUGUGUAAGUAACUGUGCACAUCUUGACGGUACCUAAUCAGAAAGCCACGGCUAACUACGUGCCAGCAGCCGCGGUAAUACGUAGGUGGCAAGCGUUAUCCGGAAUUAUUGGGCGUAAAGCGCGCGUAGGCGGUUUUUUAAGUCUGAUGUGAAAGCCCACGGCUCAACCGUGGAGGGUCAUUGGAAACUGGAAAACUUGAGUGCAGAAGAGGAAAGUGGAAUUCCAUGUGUAGCGGUGAAAUGCGCAGAGAUAUGGAGGAACACCAGUGGCGAAGGCGACUUUCUGGUCUGUAACUGACGCUGAUGUGCGGAAGCGUGGGGAUCAAACAGGAUUAGAUACCCUGGUAGUCCACGCCGUAAACGAUGAGUGCUAAGUGUUAGGGGGUUUCCGCCCCUUAGUGCUGCAGCUAACGCAUUAAGCACUCCGCCUGGGGAGUACGACCGCAAGGUUGAAACUCAAAGGAAUUGACGGGGACCCGCACAAGCGGUGGAGCAUGUGGUUUAAUUCGAAGCAACGCGAAGAACCUUACCAAAUCUUGACAUCCUUUGACAACUCUAGAGAUAGAGCCUUCCCCUUCGGGGGACAAAGUGACAGGUGGUGCAUGGUUGUCGUCAGCUCGUGUCGUGAGAUGUUGGGUUAAGUCCCGCAACGAGCGCAACCCUUAAGCUUAGUUGCCAUCAUUAAGUUGGGCACUCUAAGUUGACUGCCGGUGACAAACCGGAGGAAGGUGGGGAUGACGUCAAAUCAUCAUGCCCCUUAUGAUUUGGGCUACACACGUGCUACAAUGGACAAUACAAAGGGCAGCGAAACCGCGAGGUCAAGCAAAUCCCAUAAAGUUGUUCUCAGUUCGGAUUGUAGUCUGCAACUCGACUACAUGAAGCUGGAAUCGCUAGUAAUCGUAGAUCAGCAUGCUACGGUGAAUACGUUCCCGGGUCU
rnacentral:rRNA from 1 species